rnacentral:lncRNA from 1 species
AAGACGUACACUUGCUCUUCUGCCUCAUACUCGUCGUCUUCUCCCUCAGCUUCAUAAACAUUCUCAUAUUCCUCGUUAUUUUCCCGUUCCUCAUCAUGGUUGACGGUGUUCACGGCACGUCUCCGACAAUCUGCUAAUGUAUGUCCCGAUCCGCCGCACUUAUUACACUUAUCCCCAUAAUUUUUGGCAUAUGGGUUAGGUGUUUUAUCUUGCCCCGCCGGUUGUUUUCCUUGGGCCUUUUCUACCACAGCUCGAUCACCACGUAGAAACUGUCGUCAUUGAGGAUUUGGAACACAGGAUUCUGUCGAUUGUUCCGCCCACGAUUCUUAUCCCCAAAAUUUUGACCUCCCUCUGGAUAAAUUCUACGAACAGCCUCAAAAAGGGGUUUCUCCUGUUGUAUAAGUUCAUCCUUCAAGGCCAAAUUCCUUGCUUCCUCAACACUAAGCACUGUUUGUACUCUAAUUUUCUCUUUAAUUCCCUGUCUCAGGCC